rnacentral:rRNA from 1 species
GACGAACGCUGGCGGCGUGCUUAACACAUGCAAGUCGAACGAAGAGCGACGGAAGCUUGCUUCUAUCAAUCUUAGUGGCGAACGGGUGAGUAACGCGUAAUCAACCUGCCCUUCAGAGGGGGACAACAGUUGGAAACGACUGCUAAUACCGCAUACGAUCUAAUCUCGACAUCGAGGAUGGAUGAAAGGUGGCCUCUACAUGUAAGCUAUCACUGAAGGAGGGGAUUGCGUCUGAUUAGCUAGUUGGAGGGGUAACGGCCCACCAAGGCGAUGAUCAGUAGCCGGUCUGAGAGGAUGAACGGCCACAUUGGGACUGAGACACGGCCCAGACUCCUACGGGAGGCAGCAGUGGGGGAUCUUCCGCAAUGGACGAAAGUCUGACGGAGCAACGCCGCGUGAGUGAUGACGGCCUUCGGGUUGUAAAGCUCUGUUAAUCGGGACGAAAGGCCUUCUUGCGAAUAGUGAGAAGGAUUGACGGUACCGGAAUAGAAAGCCACGGCUAACUACGUG